AUUGAACGCUGGCGGCAUGCUUUACACAUGCAAGUCGAACGGUAACAGGUUAAGCUGACGAGUGGCGAACGGGUGAGUAAUGCAUCGGAACGUGCCCGAUCGUGGGGGAUAACGCAGCGAAAGCUGCGCUAAUACCGCAUACGAUCUGAGGAUGAAAGCGGGGGACGGUAAGGCCUCGCGCGAUCGCAGCGGCCGAUGUCAGAUUAGGUAGUUGGUGGGGUAAAGGCUCACCAAGCCAACGAUCUGUAGCUGGUCUGAGAGGACGACCAGCCACACUGGGACUGAGACACGGCCCAGACUCCUACGGGAGGCAGCAGUGGGGAAUUUUGGACAAUGGGCGAAAGCCUGAUCCAGCAAUGCCGCGUGCAGGAAGAAGGCCUUCGGGUUGUAAACUGCUUUUGUACGGAGCGAAAAGGCUCUCUCUAAUACAGGGGGCUCAUGACGGUACCGUAAGAAUAAGCACCGGCUAACUACGUGCCAGCAGCCGCUGUAA
rnacentral:rRNA from 1 species